GAUGAACGCUGGCGGCGUGCCUAAUACAUGCAAGUCGAGCGAACAGAUGAGGAGCUUGCUCCUCUGACGUUAGCGGCGGACGGGUGAGUAACACGUGGAUAACCUACCUAUAAGACUGGGAUAACUUCGGGAAACCGGAGCUAAUACCGGAUAAUAUAUUGAACCGCAUGGUUCAAUAGUGAAAGACGGUUUUGCUGUCACUUAUAGAUGGAUCCGCGCCGCAUUAGCUAGUUGGUAAGGUAACGGCUUACCAAGGCAACGAUGCGUAGCCGACCUGAGAGGGUGAUCGGCGACACGGGAGCUGAGACACGGUCCAGACGCCUACGGGAGGCAGCAGUAGGGAAUCGGCCGCAAUGGGCGAAAGCCUGACGGAGCAACGCCGCGUGAGUGAUGAAGGUCUUCGGAUCGGAAAACUCUGUUAUUAGGGAAGAACAAAUGUGUAAGUAACUAUGCACGUCUUGACGGUACCUAAUCAGAAAGCCACGGCUAACUACGUG
rnacentral:rRNA from 1 species